rnacentral:rRNA from 1 species
GAGUUUGAUCCUGGCUCAGAUUGAACGCUGGCGGAAUGCUUUACACAUGCAAGUCGAACGGCAGCACGGGAGCUUGCUCCUGGUGGCGAGUGGCGAACGGGUGAGUAAUGCGUCGGAACGUACCGAGUAAUGGGGGAUAACGCAGCGAAAGCUGUGCUAAUACCGCAUACGCCCUGAGGGGGAAAGUGGGGGAUCGCAAGACCUCACGUUAUUCGAGCGGCCGACGUCUGAUUAGCUAGUUGGUGGGGUAAUGGCCUACCAAGGCGACGAUCAGUAGCGGGUCUGAGAGGAUGAUCCGCCACACUGGAACUGAGACACGGUCCAGACUCCUACGGGAGGCAGCAGUGGGGAAUUUUGGACAAUGGGGGCAACCCUGAUCCAGCCAUUCCGCGUGAGUGAAGAAGGCCUUCGGGUUGUAAAGCUCUUUCAGCUGGAACGAAACGGUACAGGCCAAUACCCUGUGCUAAUGACGGUACCGGCAGAAGAAGCACCGGCUAACUACGUGCCAGCAGCCGCGGUAAUACGUAGGGUGCGAGCGUUAAUCGGAAUUACUGGGCGUAAAGCGUGCGCAGGCGGAUUGUUAAGCAAGAUGUGAAAUCCCCGGGCUUAACCUGGGAAUGGCAUUUUGAACUGGCAGUCUAGAGUGCGUCAGAGGGGGGUGGAAUUCCACGUGUAGCAGUGAAAUGCGUAGAGAUGUGGAGGAACACCAAUGGCGAAGGCAGCCCCCUGGGAUGACACUGACGCUCAUGUACGAAAGCGUGGGUAGCAAACAGGAUUAGAUACCCUGGUAGUCG